rnacentral:pre_miRNA from 1 species
UAAAUAUCCCCUCCGUCCCAAAAUUGUUGUCUUAAAUUUGUUUAAAUAUAAAUGUAUCUAGUCAUGUUUUAGUAUUUAGAUACAUUCAAUUUUAAACAAAGUUAAGACAUGAAUUUUGGGACGGAGGGAGUAAUAA